CAAAUGUCAUCUAAACAUUUGUUCAAUGAUGUUACUAGUAUGAGAACUGGAGGAAAACAACACAUUCAAAACAAUAACAUUGGAAUGCAAGUUUCAUGUAAUAAGGGCUCACUGAUGACUUCUCUCUACCAGCAGUCAAGACUUCUCUUCUGAUUCAUGCUGCUAAUGGCCAUCUGGACAACUUCACUUCAACUGCCUACGCGUGGGCACAAGAAAGACAUUUUGAACUACUGUGGCUGUUUCACUCAAUGUUUUUGAUCACAUAUUUUAGCUGGGCUAAUAUUGAUGACAUUUCGUCAAGAAACUCCAUUCAGCAACUCCAUUAAGCCAAUUUAAUUUUUGAUCAAUUUCCUCUGCAAUAUAUUUCCAUUUUGUUGUAAUUAUUUUCAUUGGGAUCCAGUUUCUUCUAUAUGUUUUAUAAUGGAGACUUAGUCAAUUUUUGGUUCAUUUCAAAUUUUACCAAUGUAUCUUCUGCGACUAAGUUCUCUUGUGGCUACUAUACCUAUAAAAUUCAAAUUUCUUCGUCAAAAAUUUCGAUUUAAACUUUGUCAAAAUUUCAUUCUUCCACCAAUUUUUAAUGAUGUGUGGUUUUAACGGAUUUGAAUUUAACUUGGACAGAGUAUUUCUACCAUUAAUAUUCAUUAUAAACUGAAUAAAGAUCAACAGUUUAUAUUUAA